CGGCCGCACGUUAAUUAAUCGAAAAACAGGGAUAGUGUAUAGAAUAAAAGUGACAUUUUUAUAGUUUUACAUUUUGUCUGGUUGAAUAAAGAGAGUUAUUUGCUUGCUGGAGGUUUUGAAGAAUUGUGCUGUAGGGUUGCCCCCUUCCGAAAGACGCAUGCUCCGAAGAGCUCUGGAUACAAAGUCUUCCGGAAAAGUAGCUUGCGACACAGUCGAUGAAAGAGAAGACGCAGACGCAGAAACUUUGGCGAACGCUCUCAAUACUGCUUCUCUUCUCGAGUCGAAGUCUCCCUUGAGGACGGAGAGACGACGAUUUUUAAAGGCACGAAAAGAACGCCACAUCUUGACACUGCUCGUUCGAGGAUUCAGACCUGUACAGAAGGUAUCACAUGUCGAGGAUCACCAGAUAGCCGGUGGGGUCUCUGACCUUCGAGUACCUGACGUCCUUUUACCUCCAUUAUCCAGAAGAUGCGACUUGAUACAGUCCGUCAGUGCCUCGUACGUCGCAAGGACAAAAAAACUGCCCGCGGCGAACUCAUAGGGAGAAUUGUUCAUUGACUGUCUAAAGCUGUCCUAGUCAACCCCCGAUGCAUUCAAUGAGGGUCGAACCAGCAUAGGCAGAGUGGUCAGUUCAUUGAUCCGCACGACCGUAGGAAAAUGGUCACUGAUGUAAUUAUCCAACACCUUCGUGCUGACAAUCACAGCCAGGGAAGACGAAGCAAAGAUGUAGUCCAACACGGAUCUGAGGGAACCGUCAGCCGACGUCCACGUCGGUUCUCCCGUUCCCACAUUCACACAAUUAGACAUAGAGAGAACAAAUUCUAGCCUCUUCAUUAUAAGAAGUUGGCAGGAAAGAUCAAGCUGGCAUAUGAAUAUUGAAGUCAUCCAUUAGGAUUACGUCCUUGAAAAGACUGUCUAUCGAAUCAAAAAACUGAUUCCAGAAAGAUACUUCGGUUUCAUCGGAAGCGCUACGUGAAGGGCUAUAUAUAGAACCAAUAGUUAGAUUUUUCUUAUUUUUUAAGUGAACAUUGAUAAUUACUAAAUCUACUUUAUUAUCUUGACACAAUCUUUGAAGCAGCAACAACUCGAAACGUGAGAAAUUCAGCUUUGUGCUGAUCAACAUACCUGCGCCACCUCCAGAUGAGGACAAUCUGGGUAAGUUGACAAAGGUGAAGCCUCUGAUAGGACAUCUGUACAUAUUCUGAAUGGAUUGUGGAAUUCUCGUCUCGGAGAUACAUACUACAUCCGGCGACUCCUCCUCGAUGAGAGUGAUGAGAUCGACUGUUCUAGCAAGAAGAGAACGGACGUUCCAAUGUAUAAUUUUUAAGUCACCUAUAACCGAACUUUUCCUCUGAGUAGUCAUUGCACUUUUACUAGAUUAUGGAUUUUCGACUAUGUCAAAUGUCGAAAAUAUACUAGUUAAAUCAGUUAAAAAAAUUUCAAUUCGCUGAUAUUUUUCUUAUUUAACAGGAACGUCCUGGGGUCUGCAGGAAAGGUGGCAUCCGCACCUGACCCGCUGCCUUCCGCCAUAGAAAAGUUAUUCUUCAAGAAGGAUAACAAAAAUUUAGACAUGAUGGAGUUGGAGCUACCCAAAAACUCCUGAAGACUCAGGCAAAAGUCCUCACUGGUCCCACGAGGAAAGAUGUACGGGCUAUCGUUGAAUAUCCUCCUGAAGGCCUGUUUGGACUGCGAAGCCCUCUCCGCCGGGGUCAGCUGAGUUUGUUACAUCAUAGAAGAACUCCCUUUUCUACGAGAAGAUAGUCUUUUAAAUGCGAGGUAAACAUCGCCGACGACUUUCCCUCUUUUCUUCCUUUCAUCUCUCCUCUUCUUUAAAACCUGUAAGGAGGAGAGAAAGCCUCUCUGCCCACGAGGUUGAUCUGCUGAGGAAGUCCACGAAACCCCGGAUCGUGACCCCGAAAAGGCAUCACCCCAGGUCUUGACGCUCUUCUGUCCAUCCCCUUUCUUUUCUUUACUCCUAGAACUGACCUUUGGUUUAGUCAGAAUCUCAGCAUACAUGAUUGGUUUUAGCUUCUUUAUCAGCCGAGCUAAAAAUCCUCAAGCGAGGGAGGGGGGAGGAAGCCACUAAACGUGGAAUCCUCUUAUUCUUCCUCGUUACCGCUUGCACGGAUAAAUUUUUCCGCAUCCGCUGCGCCUAAACAAUGCACAGCCAUGAUGCGCCUUACAUUGCGAUUGUGAAUAAACACGGGACACUUCUCGCUCGUGGCCCGAUGAUUGGAGUCUGCGAGCUUGUCCUGCUCACAAUUCACACAUAAUUCCUGAUCCAAGAAGCAAUCCAAUAUCGAGUGCCCUUCCCUGGAGCACUUUUCACAAACUGCUGGAUCCUUAAGCCUUUUGCAAUAGUUCUUAGUGUGACCAAAGCGCAUGCAGUGACCACACUAAGUAACCUUGCCUGUAUAAGGGCGUAUCUAAAUUUUUUUACCCAACAGAAACACAAACGUCGGCAAACAGAAGUUUUCGAAUGUUGCAACGUAAAGUUUAGAAUCCUGCAUGGUGAAGUUCUGAGGAUUAUCCGAAUUCGGCACACGUCUUUUCAUACGUUUCACUCGGAGUGGCGAAGAUCACUUGCCCCUCCAAUUGUGAGUCGGACGUAAUUUUUCACGGAUAAAAUCGACAUCGAAAUCACACUCAUCGAUGCCGAAUAGGACCGCCUUUUUAUAUAUUUAUCCUGUAAUCAGGAAUAUAUGACACUCGGAUUUGGCCUGCCACCAGUUUCUCGCUCAGCGGAGCCAUCUUCGCCAGGAAGGAUUUAGUCAAAUCUGCAUUGAAAAAAGACAUCAUAAAUUUAGUGUCCAAGAUUUUCCUAAAGUCAAACGAGACCGAUGUGUAAUAACUAACUAUCGGUUGGUCAUGCAAUGUCUUAUCCAAUCUUAAGGUACUAGUUGUACUAUUAGCUUGAGACGGAGCAGAUGGCAUCAUAUUGCACAGACUAAACCGUUAAUUUCUCCAGGAAAACAAUGUAUGGACCAUUACUGCCCUUCGAAUACUUAUUGAAAAUAGUUUCCGGGGCCUGAGGAUGAUAAUCAUGGGAGCGGUGCACUUGGACACGGUGCAUUUGGACACAGCCAAUCACAGCACCGUGUGAUUAGAGACAUUUGUAGGGUCCCUUGGAACAGCGACUUGUGAUUGGACUGUGUCCAAUUGCCCCGUGUCCAACUGAUAUACACCCGAUAAUCAUUAUCCCCUGGUCUAUUCAAGUCUAAAGACACAGAAUUUCCCUGAUCCCUCUCUUCAAGACCAAUUCCAGCGGUAGGAAGAGGAAAGGAGCCAGCUACAACUAGCGGAGUUUGUCCCUCGCCCUGCUGGGUCCUUCCAUCUCCAUCCGCAGAGGUUAUGGAUUCACUUUCAGAUAGUCUUAUUUUUUUAACGCUCCUUCUCUGCGUCUUCGGGGUGUGAGCCGAAGCUUUUCUCCCUAGCAGAUAAGAAUUACCUUGAGAAAGCUCAAUAGGUAAGGUUGCCUCGGUCAACCUCUUCCUUAAUUUGUCUGUGGUUUUGGUCAGAGAAAGACUGGGUGAGCUUAAUCUCUUAACCAUUACACUUUUAUCCGAGCAAAACCGCUGGACCUGUUGCUUUUCCUCUUCCCACGCCCGCAGGCCUUUGCUCAAAUGUGGAACGAUCCAGUUCCACAGCCACCGUACCUUGCUCAUCAGGAUUGGGAGAGGACUUCCAAAUCCUUCGUACUGAGGUCAAAAAGCAUCCCCGAAGCCGAGGAUGAUGCAUUUUGCUGAUCCAUGCUCGCGUAUCACUAGUCGAGAACACGUGGCUAUCACGCAUAUCACGACCAUAUCACACGCGUAUGAUCAUGUGCUAACCACGCGUUUCAGUGUUUAUGCCGUGCCAAUAAAGCGCACACGCGAUCACGUGAUACCAACACGCACCGGGCACGAUACUUUUACUAGCGUCAGAAAAAUUUCAAUUUGUUGAAAAAUAAUAAAUCGUAAUCAGAACCAAAGGAAAACCGGGUCGAAAUUAAAAAAAAAUUGCAUAAAUGUUAAAUGAAAUAAAUCGUAGGCGUUCACACAGGAAUUUCUCGAAAACCUUAAUUAAUUUCAAAACGAGAGGCAACCAAGCUUACGAUCCACUCAGUGCGAGCGUUGAAGGCCAACUCGACUCGAGUCGUAGCUAAUCGUAAGCCCGUAUCAAAAGUAUAUGCAUUAUAAUCUUUGAGUAGCGUAUAUAAAUAAUUGUUACGUUUUAGCAUUGACCGACUGGAGUCGGCAGUCGUAGUCGGCAGUCGAGUCGGCCUAUGCAGUCGGUAGUCUGAUACGAGUUUUCUUUAGAGACUCUAGAGAUUGGGUACUUUUCAUUUAAUAACACAAGUCGAUAUAAACAUCAUUUUGUCUUUGUUCCAUAUUCAAUAAGUAACUAAGAUAGGAUGAUGCUUGUGUCGACUUGUGUUAUUAAAUGGAAAGCACCCACUCUGAGAUUCAGAGUCUGAGUCAGAUCUCUGAUCAUACUGGAUAGUGUACGCCUUUGUUCUCGAGCGUUCAGAAAGAAAUAGUUGAGUGGAAACGGUGUACCUUUGUCUAACCAGCUCGAGGUGACUCCACAUCACAUGACUCCAUGUAUAACCCACUCUGAAACAUUAACCUCCACACAUAUUUCCCAUACAUCGAAACAGUAUAUUUAUAUAUAAUAUAUAUAAAAGAAAAUAAAUGAGCGAGAGAAAGAGACAGGUAGUCAUAUGUCUGUCUCCUUCUACUUGCCCGAUCCCCUUUUUCUCACACGGACACAACGUGCGUUUGUACGUGCGCUUGUAUGUGUCAUCUCUGGCUACCGCGUGCUACGAAGAGCUCCAAGCCUGGUAGCACUGGUAAGCAACUGGAUAUAAAGAACGACUAAAUUACGCAUCGGAUGUAUCGGGUUAUAUCCUUUGACUAUAUAAGUAUGGACUGCCAGUUAUCUCCACUUUUCCUAUUCUCACAAUGCUUCGCUAUGUAAUUAACAUCACGCGUGUCUUCAAAGGAUUCAAAUGUCAAAAAAUCAAAACGAAGUCAGAUUUCGAUGGUAAAACAGGAAGGAAGAGAGAGAUGGAAUAUGACAUACGCCCCAAUCAACACAUUCAGUUGUGGCUAUAUAACUUGGAAGUAACAAGUUAUAUAACGAAUUUGUUAUAACAGUUAUAUUACAGCUAUGAAAUUUUACUAUUUUCUUUUUACAUAACUGCUCAAUCAGCACAUUCAGUUGCUGCUAUAUAACCUGAACGUAAAAAAGGUAUAUAAGGAAUACAUUAUAACAGUUUACAUUUCUGUAAUUUUAAUGUCGUUCUACAUAAUUGCUGAGUCAACACAUUCAAUUACUGCUAUAUAAUCUGGAAAUAAAACAGUUAUAUAACGAAUAUAUUAUAACAAGUAUAUUAUAACAGUUCUUUUUAAUUUUAAUGUCCUUUCUAUAAUUGUAUAAACCCACUCGGUGGUUAUUUUCGUGCUGCAUU